rnacentral:misc_RNA from 1 species
GUCGAUAGAGAUUUCAUUUGCACAAGAAAUAAACAUCUCUAUGACAGGAAACCAUUCUUCUCCUGUAUUGCAGAUAUUCAAGUCUGUCAAGUGAAAAAAAUUGUUCACUAGUUUAUCUAGUGAAGAGCGAGCUUGAAUUCACUGCUGAAAGACACAAGUAUAAGGAGCCAACCUAUACAAUGAUAGGGAAAGAUGUAUGUAUUGUAUCUACGGAGAAUUUCAACCAAAAAAAAACAUCCUUUAGUAUCCACACCUUCCAUAUCUACACGACCAUAACAAACACCUUCAGCACAACCAUCUUUAACUGCCUGAACGCGAGUCUGAUAAACCAGAUGAUGAAGCAACUGUAGCAGUUUCGCCUAUCACUGUCUUCAAUUUCUGAGAUGAAUUAUCGCCUGAGAACCCUGAGUCUGACACAUCACCAAUGUCAAGGCUGUCUGGAAGCUUUUCAAAAUCAUCACCAGAGUAGAGCUCAAGCUGAUUCAGCAUGUCAACCGCAGCAUCAAUGUCACAACUGUUUGCUAAAUAGACCUCAGAAAGUGACUCAUCUGACAUUCCAGGAAAAUUCAUCUGAAGAUAAGCCAAAUCCAUGAAAGAUUCCUCACCCAGAACUUCUUUACCCAUAGAUCCUACUGGACUAUGUGAUGGCGAGCCAUAAGUUGAGAAGUCUUUCAGUUUAUACUGAUCAGCAAUUUGGGGAGUCUGCAGUUGAUUUCGCACAGCUGUCACACCAGGUGCCAACCAAACAGCCUCACUUCCACUCUUGAACUCAUUUGGAGAUCUAGCUUCUUUGUUUCCGUCAGGUGCCCCUCUUUUCGAAAUAGGCACAUAUGCUUCUGCAUAGGGGUUCAAAGUUGAUGUUCCUGUCUUCAUUGGUGCCGUGCAUAUAGAGUUCACUUCGGAAUAGCGAUCGAACAGCGAGAUUCAAACCCUAAAUUUCGCCGAGAAAACGAAGAAAGAUCGAUGAAAGAUUACAAGGGAAUCUCCUUCUCU